rnacentral:tRNA from 1 species
AAGGCUUUAAGUUAAAUAAACUAUUAACCUUCAAAGUUAAAAAUAAAUAUAAUUUAAACCUUA